rnacentral:rRNA from 1 species
UUUAUCAUGCAGUCGAACGAUGAAGUUCCUUCGGGAAUGGAUUAGUGGCGAACGGGUGAGGAACACGUGAGAAACCUGCCUUUCAUUCUGGGAUAACACCGGGAAACCGGUGCUAAUACCGGAUACUCCAUCUUGGCGGCAUCGCCGAGCUGGGAAAAAAUUUUGAUGAAAGAUGGUCUCGCGGCCUAUCAGCUAGUUGGUGAGGUAAAGGCUCACCAAGGCGACGACGGGUAGCCGGCCUGAGAGGGCGACCGGCCACACUGGGACUGAGACACGGCCCAGACUCCUACGGGAGGCAGCAGUAGGGAAUAUUGGGCAAUGGGCGAAAGCCUGACCCAGCGACGCCGCGUGAGGGAUGAAGGUCUUCGGAUUGUAAACCUCUUUCAGUAGGGAAGAAGCGAAAGUGACGGUACCUAAAGAAGAAGCACCGGCUAACUAUGUGCCAGCAGCCGCGGUAAUACAUAGGGUGCAAGCGUUGUCCGGAAUUAUUGGGCGUAAAGAGCUCGUAGGUCGUUUGUCGCGUCGAUUGUGAAAAUCUGAGGCUCAACCUCAGACCUGCAGUCGAUACGGGCAAACUAGAGUGUGGUAGGGGAGACUGGAAUUCCUGGUGUAGCGGUGGAAUGCGCAGAUA